rnacentral:rRNA from 1 species
UACGGAGGGGGCGAGCGUUAUUCGGAAUUAUUGGGCGUAAAGGGCGCGUAGGCGGUCCUGCAAGUCAAAGGUGAAAUCCCUCGGCUCAACUGAGGAACUGCCUUUGAAACUGCGGGGCUUGAGGCCGGGAGGGGGUAGCGGAAUUCCCAGUGUAGCGGUGAAAUGCGUAGAUAUUGGGAGGAACACCAGUGGCGAAGGCGGCUACCUGGACCGGUUCUGACGCUGAUGCGCGAAAGCGUGGGUAGCAAACAGG